rnacentral:rRNA from 1 species
UACGAAGGGUGCAAGCGUUACUCGGAAUUACUGGGCGUAAAGCGUGCGUAGGCGGUUUGUUAAGUCUGUCGUGAAAGCCCCGGGCUCAACCUGGGAAUGGCGAUGGAAACUGGCGAGCUAGAGUACGGUAGAGGAGAGUGGAAUUCCCGGUGUAGCAGUGAAAUGCGUAGAUAUCUGGAGGAACACCGGUGGCGAAGGCGGCAUCCUGGACCAACACUGACGCUGAGGAGCGAAAGCCAGGGGAGCAAACGGG